rnacentral:lncRNA from 1 species
GAUCCAAGUGCAGAAGCAAAGGAAACUUUCCAUGGCUGGUUCUAGGGGCUCGUGGCCACGUCAAUGGCUAGAGUGGGCACAUCGUUUUUCUUGCCCAGGUGUGGUUCCCCUGAGCGCAGCUGCGGGCCAGCUGUGGUUCUAAGCGCUGAGCCUGGGGCAUCCCUCAGCAGGGAAGGGCCAACAAGGACAGAUGGACAAAAGGCGCUACGUGUUCUGGAUGAAGGGAAGGGCGCUGAUGUGAUGGGGCCGGGAGGUCAGGGAGGGCCUGUGAUAGGGCCCCAAGGCUGGAGAGGCAUGGUGGGACAGGUGGCAGGGCCAGCAGGUAGGUUUCCCUGCAGGGGCAACACUGGGGAACCCCACCCACCCACCCAAGAGACAGCCGCUGGGGCUGGGGGGCAUGAGGAAGCGCUGGUCCCAGCGGGCUGUGUCUGAGGCCCCAGGCCCCGCUCCAGGCGUCCCUGGGCAGUGGCAGGAAGUUGGAGGCCCCACAUGAAAGAGGACCAGCUGCCGGUGGGGGCGUCGGGACAGGGACAGGAUUAAUGAGGCACCAGCAGCUCCUGCUGGGCCCAGCUGCCUCGGAAGGUGGCAGCAGGCCAGGGACAUGGGUGGAACUCAGCCCAUGCGCUGGGGAAGGGGCACGUAGGAGGCAGCCCCUGGGGGCUGUGGGAAGCAGUCAGCAGAGCUGCAGGCUGGAGGCUCCACCCCCCCACUCCCUCCUGGCUUCCCUGAGCCUCCAGAACCCCACCCUGACCUCCCUGCCCACCCCUCACCCUAGUGUCAGCCUCCAGCCUUUCCAACUGUCCUAAUGGCAAAUCCAGGCCUGGCCACUUCUGAGCUGUGUGACCUUAGGCAAGUUAUUAACCUCUCUGUGCCUCCGUUUUCUCGCUUGUAAAAUGGACUCUACCGUUGCUCCUUCAUAGGGUUGGGGUAAGGAAUAACAGGACGAACAGCACAGCACCUGUCAGGGAGAUGCUCCCCACGUGUGGGCCCAGGGGCCUCGGCUCUCCGGGUGCUCGCCGCCUCCAGGACAAGCCCGGUUGCUGCCACAGUGCCCGGCCUCGCUGCUGCCGCCGCGGUCCUGCUCCGCGUGGUCCUGCUCGGACCCGGACCCGGACCCGGACCCGGACCCGGACCCGGACCCGAGGGUUUGCAGAGCCCCUGCCCCCUCCCCGCAGGAGCGGCCGGCGCUCGGGUCAGUUCGCAGGGUGGCCACGAGGUGGCGGCAGCGCUGCACGCACCGGGCCUGCAGGGCAGGUGGGGACCGGCCCCCACCACCGAGGCGGCCACCUCCCGGCCCCGACCGCGAGGGUCCAGCUCGGCCCUUCCCGGCCCGUGUGGGGCUGGGGGCGCCAGUCGGGGGGUCCUCCGUGGGUCUGGGCGAGGGACCUCAGCGCCUCUAGUCCCUCCCACCCACUGGGCUUCGGGGACAUACGGGGCAGCACCUAAGAGCCCUGUCCCCGGAGGCUGCAGAGGCGGCCAGCGCCCCCCCCCCGCCCCCAGGGCACAGGGCGCCGGCCCCACGCUUCCAGUGGCCGGGCGUGGGAUCGUGGGGACCCGGUUCGCCCGCGCGUUCACGCCAGCCUGUCCCGCUCCCUCCGGGCGCCCUCCCUGCGGCUCCCCCCAGAGCGGAGCCCGGCCCCACCCCCUUACCCCGGGGAGGGGCCGCCGCCCCGCAGCUGUGCCGCUCGCCUCGCUGGGGUGGCUCCUCCCGGGACCCCGGGGCCGCGCCCCUCCCGCAUCCGCUGACUUCCCGCGGGCGGGGGCGGGGGCGGGG